GAGCUGGCCUAGGUAAGGCCGCUUCUGCACGGCCCAUUUAUGACGGCCUGGGGGCGCCAAAAAAGGCGCCCCCAGGCCGCCGAGCUUCAGACAGCGCCGCUGCUGCAAACGCAGCAGCAGCUUACCUGACUCUUCUUCCUCCCCAGAG